GUUAAGAGUACCUAGGGUGGCUUCCAGAGCAGGUAGAUGUUUCUGGGAUGAGAUCUACCUGGGUUCCGGUCUGAUCCUGCUCCUUAAGAGCCUGGUGAUCUUUAGCAAGAUAUGUAAUGAAGCCCCUGAAUCCAGUCUCCUUAUCUGUAAAAGGUUUAUUGUGAUGAUUACACGGGCUAACGUGUAAAAGCACCGCACUAAUCCACCUAUAGUGGGUGCUCAGUAAGAGUUUUGCUCUUCAUUCGCAAAUCUUGACACUGGCAGUGGGAGGGUUGAGUUGUGUCUGAGUUCUGGCAGGAAUCAAGUGGCACAUUCCAAAUGCGUAGUUUGUGGAGAGUUUCAUAAAGGGACUAUUCCCAAAGGCAUUGGCAAGGUUAAAAAACAAACAAGGUUGGCGGCAGACCCUUGGGCCUGAAGUCUCAAGCGAGAGGGCUGCCUGGCAGGAGUUGUAGCUAUGGUGGUGGGAGGCAGGCAGUCCACGGUGAGAUAGUAGGAGUGGAGAGAAUAAACACCUUGACCUCACUCUCCUCUUGCCCUUCAUAUUCCUGAGUGCGUUUCUUUAGCUGAACCCAGGCAAUCAGCUCAGCCUACUAGGUUACACAACAAGGUGGAUGGAGCAUACAGAAGAUGCCCAGUGAGGGCAAGCUCAAUAUUUAUAAGCUGAAUAAAAAGAAGCCAGAGUAGGUCCCAGAUCUCAGAGUUCGGUGAGCUUUGACUACUCUGUCUCCCGAGUAACUGCUGCAGGGUUUUUUAAACACCUGUUGCUUAAAGAGUUACAGGCUGUGCACAAUCUAGGGACACUCAGCUUACAAAGACUUCGUGGGCUGUCACAGCCGCCGGCACAAUUGAAAUCUGCACUCAGAUUUCAGAAAGCCAUGGUGAAAGGUGACUUCUCCCUCUCCCUUCCCUGAUACCCAGGAUGCUGUGAAGAGACACAGAAAUGGCUCCCAGGCACAUGAGGGGAAAGCAGCUAAGGAGGAGGCCUUGCGUUGGUCCUUCAAAAGUGCCUUCCUGUAGGGAAUUCAGCACGUAGGAACUCCAUGGAAGAGAUAAGUAUUGUACAGGCCAACUGCCAGGGCGGCUUGCUCACAAUAUGAAAAAGAAUCAGCUGCUGUAAGAGAGGAGCGACUUCAUACAAAUGCCAGUGUUUGUCUAGUGACUUGAAGUAGCUGUAGAUUAAUACCCCAAUAUGUGGCAUAUUAUCUCCAAUAUUAAACAUAAAAAUUAAUUUCUGUGCCCCUAUUUUAAGGGUAGGGACUUAUGGAUAGACAAAAGCCUUUGCCUGAUUUAGGGUAGGAUCUCUCUGGUUACCCCCAGAUAAUUACACACCCAGAAAUGUUUGUAUCUUGUAAAAGGCCCCUGAACUUUUCCAUGCUUAACAGCCCCCUGACUUUUAUUAUAAAUUCAAUAUGGAAAGGUUGAGUUUCAGAAAGAAUUAUUUCAGUGUUAUCUCUGAUCAGUAUAGCAUCAAUGAGUAAUUUCACUAUCUGAAUUAAACUUAGGACACCUGUUUAAAUAUUGCCUAAACAGAUUAUGUCAAAUGUUAGAGAACUGGAAGUAUCUUGGAGGCAAGAUAAAUCAUUGGCUGCCAAGUGAGAGCAAACUGCUGUUAAUGUUUAAAAUGUAAAUAAAUACAUACAUACAUAUAUACAUAUGGGGAUCAAAAACAAUGCCAUGGUAAGAUUAAUAAAAUAACAAUCAGAGAUGACUGAGAAAGAUCUUCCUGUAGAGAAAUAGUGUCAACCACAGUUACAGAUUCUUUUGGGUUUUUUUAUCCUCCGUUGACAUCUGAGAUCCAUUUACUUUUCCAAAAAUCCGAGUGAGAGUUAAAGGUGAAAAGGUUGGAGGUGGGAUGGGCUCCCAGUUAACUCCAGUAUUGGUUAUGAUUUCACUCAUGAUCCUGCCUGGGUCUAUUUCUUGUUUACAGUUUUUGUGGGACAAGAAAGCUCCAAGUUUCCAUUUCUUAGCAGCCAGUAUACAUCCCAUUUGAGAUUACGGGGGACGGCCUCUAGAUUAGCUCCCUUGGAAGUUCCACGUGAGAAGAGGCAAAGAUCACUCUUGCACAGCAGCAUAACUCAUUACCUAACACUGGUAUUUGAAAUACAGCUGCGUGGCUGGCACUUAAAAGAAAUGCACUUUGAUGCUGUGAAGAGACACAGAAAUGGCUCCCAGGCACAUGAGGGGAAAGCAGCUAAGGAGGAGGCCUUGCGUUGGUCCUUCAAAAGUGCCUUCCUGUAGGGAAUUCAGCACGUAGGAACUCCAUGGAAGAGAUAAGUAUUGUACAGGCCAACUGCCAGGGCGGCUUGCUCACAAUAUGAAAAAGAAUCAGCUGCUGUAAGAGAGGAGCGACUUCAUACAAAUGCCAGUGUUUGUCUAGUGACUUGAAGUAGCUGUAGAUUAAUACCCCAAUAUGUGGCAUAUUAUCUCCAAUAUUAAACAUAAAAAUUAAUUUCUGUGCCCCUAUUUUAAGGGUAGGGACUUAUGGAUAGACAAAAGCCUUUGCCUGAUUUAGGGUAGGAUCUCUCUGGUUACCCCCAGAUAAUUACACACCCAGAAAUGUUUGUAUCUCGUAAAAGGCCCCUGAACUUUUCCAUGCUUAACAGCCCCCUGACUUUUAUUAUAAAUUCAAUAUGGAAAGGUUGAGUUUCAGAAAGAAUUAUUUCAGUGUUAUCUCUGAUCAGUAUAGCAUCAAUGAGUAAUUUCACUAUCUGAAUUAAACUUAGGACACCUGUUUAAAUAUUGCCUAAACAGAUUAUGUCAAAUGUUAGAGAACUGGAAGUAUCUUGGAGGCAAGAUAAAUCAUUGGCUGCCAAGUGAGAGCAAACUGCUGUUAAUGUCUAAAAUGUAAAUAAAUACAUACAUACAUAUAUACAUAUGGGGAUCAAAAACAAUGCCAUGGUAAGAUUAAUAAAAUAACAAUCAGAGA